rnacentral:rRNA from 1 species
CACCUCUAGCAUUUCAAGUAUUAGAGGCAUUGCCUGCCCAGUGACUAUAGUUAAACGGCCGCGGUAUCCUGACCGUGCAAAGGUAGCAUAAUCAUUUGUUCCUUAAUUAGGGACUAGCAUGAACGGCUAGACGAGGGCUCAACUGUCUCUUAUUUUUAAUCAGUGAAAUUGACCCUCCAGUGAAGAGGCUGGAAUAUAACAAUAAGACGAGAAGACCCUAUGGAGCUUAAAUUAAUAGCUUAAUUACUGUUUCACUACCCUAUAUGGCACAAGACAAAAAAUCAUAAGCUUAAAAUUUUGGUUGGGGUGACCUCGGAGAAUAAAAAAUCCUCCGAACGAUAAAUAACUUAGACUCACAAGUCAAAGUAGCCUAACUAACUAUCUAAUUGACCCAAAAAUUGAUCAACGGACCAAGUUACCCUAGGGAUAACAGCGCAAUCCUAUUUAAGAGUCCAUAUCGACAAUAGGGUUUACGACCUCGAUGUUGGAUCAGGACAUCCCAAUGGUGCAGAAGCUAUUAAUGGUUCGUUUGUUCAA